UAAAGAGACUGCGUUAACGA
rnacentral:snRNA from 1 species